AGAGCGAACGCUGGCGGCGUGCUUAACACAUGCAAGUCGAACGCGCAGCAUUCUGUAGCAAUACAGGGUGUGGGCGCGUGGCGAACGGGUGCGUAACACGUGGAUAACCUUCCUUCGGGUGGGGAAUAACCCAGUGAAAAUUGGGCUAAUACCGCAUAACAUCGCGAUGGCACAUGCCGUUGCGUUCAAAGGCGUAAGUCGCCAGAAGAGGGAUCCGCGGCCGAUUAGCUUGUUGGCGGGGUAACGGCCCACCAAGGCUUUGAUCGGUA
rnacentral:rRNA from 1 species